GGGUUUUUAUUAUAUUUUAGUAUACUUAAUUGCAGAUUAAGUGGAUAAGGGGCCUU
rnacentral:tRNA from 1 species